rnacentral:rRNA from 1 species
UACGAAGGGGGCUAGCGUUGUUCGGAAUUACUGGGCGUAAAGCGUGCGCAGGCGGUUUUGUAAGCCAGAUGUGAAAUCCCCGGGCUUAACCUGGGAAUGGCAUUUGGGACUGCAAGGCUUGAGUGCGGCAGAGGAGACUGGAAUUCCUGGUGUAGCAGUGAAAUGCGUAGAUAUCAGGAGGAACACCGAUGGCGAAGGCAGGUCUCUGGGCUGACACUGACGCUCAUGCACGAAAGCGUGGGGAGCAAACAGAAUUAGAAACCCGGAGUAGAU